UACAGAGGGUGCGAGCGUUAAUCGGAAUUACUGGGCGUAAAGCGCACGUAGGUGGUUCUGUAAGUCGGAUGUGAAAGCCCCGGGCUUAACCUGGGAAUUGCGUCCGAAACUAUGGAGCUGGAGUGUGGCAGAGGGAGGUGGAAUUCCACGUGUAGCGGUGAAAUGCGUAGAGAUGUGGAGGAACACCGAUGGCGAAGGCAG
rnacentral:rRNA from 1 species